AUUGAACGCUGGCGGAAUGCUUUACACAUGCAAGUCGAGCGGCAGCGCGGGGCAACCUGGCGGCGAGCGGCGAACGGGUGAGUAAUGCAUCGGAACAUGUCCAUGUCGUGGGGGAUAGCCCGGCGAAAGCCGGAUUAAUACCGCAUACGCCCGAGAGGGGAAAGUGGGGGACCGCAAGGCCUCACGCGAUUGGGUUGGCCGAUGUCCGAUUAGCUAGUUGGCGGGGAAGAGCCCACCAAGGCGAUGAUCGGUAGCUGGUCUGAGAGGAUGAUCAGCCACACUGGGACUGAGACACGGCCCAGACUCCUACGGGAGGCAGCAGUGGGGAAUUUUGGACAAUGGGGGCAACCCUGAUCCAGCCAUUCCGCGUGAGUGAAGAAGGCCUGG
rnacentral:rRNA from 1 species